rnacentral:rRNA from 1 species
UACGGGGGGUGCGAGCGUUGUCCGGAAUCACUGGGCGUAAAGGGCGCGUAGGUGGUUUGAUAAGGGUGUGGUGAAAGUCCGGGGCUCAACCCCGGAUCUGCCGUGCCGACUGUCAAACUCGAGGACUGUAGAGGCAGACGGAAUUCCGGGUGUAGCGGUGGAAUGCGUAGAGAUCCGGAAGAACACCGGUGGCGAAGGCGGUCUGCUGGGGUCGAACUGACGCUGAGGCACGAAAGCGUGGGGAGCAAACAGG